UACGGAGGGUGCAAGCGUUAUCCGGAUUUACUGGGUUUAAAGGGUGCGCAGGCGGAUAUGUAAGUCAGUGGUGAAAUCUCUAGGCUUAACCUGGAAAUUGCCGUUGAUACUAUAUAUCUUGAAUGUUGUGGAGGUAAGCAGAAUAUGUCAUGUAGCGGUGAAAUGCUUAGAUAUGACAUAGAAUACCUAUUGCGAAGGCAGCUUACUACGCACAUAUUGACGCUGAGGUGCGAAAGCGUGGGGAGCAAACAGG
rnacentral:rRNA from 1 species